rnacentral:lncRNA from 1 species
AUACGUGCCGAAGCCUCUGCAAGCUUCUGCAGUAACAGAGUAUACGUCUUCAUUUUGGAUAGUUUUCCAUGUGUCUUAUGGCCAGCAUUCAUUUUAGUAACGUAAACUGUAGUUUUAGUUUUAAGUUUAGUUUAUAGUUAAUUAUAACAACUUUGAUUCACACUUUUGUUUUGGCAGGUUGUUUGUGCCAGCAGAAACCAUUCAUGAAAGAUGCACCCCUGAGGCUUACAGAGGUAUACUCCAUCAUCUGCUAAGCAGGACAAAAGAUGACAGCUCUUUGCAAGAGGUUCUUCUCAUGUGUUGCCACAAAAGUUUCUGCCCCCUGUGAUUGAUAAAUACAGCAUUUUGAGCUGGUUCCGGAGGGGCAAAUAAGAGCUGCUUCAAUGACAGUCUAGUAAGUAAGAGCUGCUCACCUCAAUUAUGGGAGUUAAUGAAUAGAUAAUCACAUUUUGAAUUUAGAUUUGCUGCUUGUGUUGCAAGA